UAUUUAUCUAUGGAGGUGCUUGGAGUUCAGGAGAAAGGUCCACUUACUGUUUACUGAGCAGGCAGAUGGCUGAAGAACUGAAAGCAACUGUAAUUUGUCCUGAUUACUGCACAUAUCCAAAGGGGAAUGUUUUAGGGAUGGUCCAAGAUAUCACUGACUGCUUGAUUUGGGCCCACCAGAAUGGAGAGAAAUUCAACUUUGACAAAGAUAACAUUGUAUUAAUUGGGCAUUCAGCAGGUGCACAUUUGUGUACACUCACCACACUGUUUCUUGUUGAUACAAGAGAGGAGCUUUCCAUAGAGCCAGGCAAGCAGCAGGAAGUCUUGCUCUCGAUAAGAGGAAUUAUUGGUCUGAGCGGCGUCUACAACAUCGUGGACCAUUAUGAGCAUGAACAGAAACGAGGAGUUGAACGAGUGUCCCCCAUGCACAAAGCGAUGAAUGGUGUGGAAAACCUUCCAUACUACUCACCAACACACUUACUAAAGAAGCUCAGCCAGGACAAAGUCAACAGAUUGCCUCCAUUCGCUUUGCUCCAUGGGACCAAUGACAUUAUGGUUCCUGCUGAAUCUACCAUAAGAUUCUCUGAGCUUCUCACUUUGCGCUCUGUUAAGAUGUCAUUGAAUGUUCUUCAUGGAGUCGCCCACACUGAGACUGCUGUUGAUCUCAUGGUGUUAAACAGACGCCUCUACCGUCCAAUCUACAGAUACAUCAAAGAAGAGUUUAGAAAAUUUCUGGGUACCUGCUGACUGCAUGUGAUUAGAAAAGUAUUCACACAGCUCCAGUAUGUGCUGAAUUGUACUGUACUGUAAAUUAAAAUCAACCAUUUAAUUAUGAGUUUGACUUGAUUCUCUGAAGCUCUGAUUUUAUAAAACUAAUAUGAUAUUUUUAACAGUACUUUAAUUAUUUUGGAGAGAUGCUCUUUAUAGUGCUGUCAAAUAAGUAAUCACAAAGUGAAAUCAAUUAUAGAACAGUAGGGUUUAUUAGGAAGCUACACACAAUAUUCAAAUCCAGUUACAAAA
ensembl:lncRNA